rnacentral:tRNA from 1 species
GCAUUGGUGGUUCAGUGGUAGAACUCCCAUCUUCCAUUUGGGAGACCUGGGUUCAAUUCCUGGCCAGUGGA